rnacentral:misc_RNA from 1 species
UGGAAGUAAAAGUCGUAACAAGGUCUCCGUAGGUGAACCUGCGGAGGGAUCAUUACACAAUAACAAGGCGGGCUGGACACCCCCCGCUGGGCACUGCUUCACGGCGUGCGCGGCGGGGCCGGCCCUGCUGAAUUAUUCACCCGUGUCUUUUGCGUACUUCUUGUUUCCUGGGUGGGCUCGCCCGCCCUCAGGACCAACCACAAACCUUUUGCAAUAGCAAUCAGCGUCAGUAACAACGUAAUUAAUUACAACUUUCAACAACGGAUCUCUUGGUUCUGGCAUCGAUGAAGAACGCAGCGAAAUGCGAUACGUAGUGUGAAUUGCAGAAUUCAGUGAAUCAUCGAAUCUUUGAACGCACAUUGCGCCCUUUGGUAUUCCAAAGGGCAUGCCUGUUCGAGCGUCAUUUGUACCCUCAAGCUUUGCUUGGUGUUGGGCGUCUUUUGUCUCCAGUUCGCUGGAGACUCGCCUUAAAGUCAUUGGCAGCCGGCCUACUGGUUUCGGAGCGCAGCACAAGUCGCGCUCUUUGCCAGCCAAGGUCAGCGUCCAGCAAGCCUUUUUUUCAACCUUUGACCUCGGAUCAGGUAGGGAUACCCGCUGAACUUAAGCAUAUCAAUAAGCGGAGGAA